CGUAGGGUGCGAGCGUUAAUCGGAAUUACUGGGCGUAAAGUGUGCGCAGGCGGCCGCGCAAGUCGAGUGUGAAAGCCCCGAGCUUAACUUGGGAAUUGCGCUCGAAACUACGUGGCUCGAGUGUGGCAGGGGAAGGUGGAAUUCCACGUGUAGCGGUGAAAUGCGUAGAGAUGUGGAGGAACACCGAUGGCGAAGGCAGCCUUCUGGGCCAACACUGACGCUCAUGCACGAAAGCGUGGGGAGCAAACAGGAUUAGAUACCCUGGUAGUCCACGCCCUAAACGAUGAUGACUAGUUGUUGGGGGAGUUAAAUCCCUUAGUAACGCAGCUAACGCGUGAAGUCAUCCGCCUGGGGAGUACGGUCGCAAGAUUA
rnacentral:rRNA from 1 species